UACGAAGGGUGCAAGCGUUACUCGGAAUUACUGGGCGUAAAGCGUGCGUAGGUGGUGAGUUAAGUCUGUCGUGAAAGCCCCGGGCUCAACCUGGGAAUGGCGAUGGAUACUGGCUCGCUAGAGUGCGGUAGAGGAGAGUGGAAUUCCCGGUGUAGCAGUGAAAUGCGUAGAGAUCGGGAGGAACAUCAGUUGCGAAAGCGGCUUCCUGGUCCAGCACCGACGUCAGGCACGAAAGCGUGGGGAGCAAACAGG
rnacentral:rRNA from 1 species